AUUAGUGGCGAACGGGUGAGUAACACGUGGGCAAUCUGCCCUGCACUCUGGGACAAGCCCUGGAAACGGGGUCUAAUACCGGAUACUGACCCGCUUGGGCAUCCAAGCGGUUCGAAAGCUCCGGCGGUGCAGGAUGAGCCCGCGGCCUAUCAGCUUGUUGGUGAGGUAAUGGCUCACCAAGGCGACGACGGGUAGCCGGCCUGAGAGGGCGACCGGCCACACUGGGACUGAGACACGGCCCAGACUCCUACGGGAGGCAGCAGUGGGGAAUAUUGCACAAUGGGCGAAAGCCUGAUGCAGCGACGCCGCGUGAGGGAUGACGGCCUUCGGGUUGUAAACCUCUUUCAGCAGGGAAGAAGCGAAAGUGACGGUACCUGCAGAAGAAGCGCCGGCUAACUACGUGCCAGCAGCCGCGGUAAUACGUAGGGCGCGAGCGUUGUCCGGAAUUAUUGGGCGUAAAGAGCUCGUAGGCGGCUUGUCACGUCGGUUGUGAAAGCCCGGGGCUUAACCCCGGGUCUGCAGUCGAUACGGGCAGGCUAGAGUUCGGUAGGGGAGAUCGGAAUUCCUGGUGUAGCGGUGAAAUGCGCAGAUAUCAGGAGGAACACCGGUGGCGAAGGCGGAUCUCUGGGCCGAUACUGACGCUGAGGAGCGAAAGCGUGGGGAGCGAACAGGAUUAGAUACCCUGGUAGUCCACGCCGUAAACGGUGGGCACUAGGUGUGGGCGACAUUCCACGUCGUCCGUGCCGCAGCUAACGCAUUAAGUG
rnacentral:rRNA from 1 species